rnacentral:rRNA from 1 species
UCUYUUGAUUUUAUAUGAGAUAUGUCCUGCCCAAUGAUUAAUUUAAUGGCCGCGGUAUCUUGRCCGUGCAAAGGUAGCAUAAUCAUUAKUCUAUUAAUUGUGGACUUGUAUGAAUGGUUUGACGAAAUAUUUACUGUCUCAUUUUCAUUAAUAUAAAUUAAUUUUUUUGUUAAAAAGCUUAAAUUUUUUUGUAGGACGAGAAGACCCUGUAGAUCUUGAAAUUNUCUAUUUAUUAUUCAUUUUGGWUUAUUUUUUAGUNUYUAAUUAGGUUUUUUUGGUUGGGGUGACCAUGAGGNAUAAUUAACUCUUUAUUAUAUUAUACAUUUAUUUUUGAUUAUAUGACCUUAUUUUAUUGUUAUAAGAUAUAGAUACCUUAGGGAUAACAGCGUAAUCUUUUUUGAGAGUUCAUAUCGACAAUAAGGAUUGCGACCUCGAUGUUGAAUUAARAAUAUAUUUAGGCGUAGAAGUUUAAUAUUAUAGGUCUGUUCC